rnacentral:lncRNA from 1 species
CCUAAUAGUUGAUGGAGAGCCACGGUCAUAUAAGGAGAUAAUCGAUUAUGACAGUGUUGUGCCUAUCGAGUAUGAAACUGACAGGUCAACGGCCAAAGAAGAAUCUGGCCCUAUAAUUUCUGAAGAUAGUGAUGGUCACCCGGAGAACCUAAUGGUUGAUGGAGAACUUCAGUCUUAUAAGGACGGAAUAUAUUAUGACAAUGUUGUGCUCACUGAGCAUGAAACUGAUAGCGUAGAAGCCAAAGAACCUGGCCCUACAGUUUCUGAAGAUGGUGAUGGUCACCAGGUGAACCUAAUGGUUGAUGGAGACCUGCAGUCUCAUAAGGCGAGAACAGUUAACGGCAUUGUUGUUCCUACCGAGCAUGAAACGUAUACCGAAGCAGCCAAAGAAGAAUCUGGCCCUACAAUUUCUGAAGAUAGUGAUAGUCACCUGGAGAACCAAAUGGUAGAUGGAGAGAUACAGUCUUAUAAGGAGAGAGUAGACUAUGACAGUGUUAUGCCUACUGAGCAUGAAACUGAUAGGGCAGAAGCCAAAGAAGAACCUUGCUGUACAAUUUCUGAAGAUAGUGAUGGUCACCCGGAGAACCAAAUGGUUGACAGGGAGCUGCAUCCUUAUAAGGAGAGAAUAGAUUAUGACAAUGUUGUGCCUACUGAGAAUGAAACUGAUAGGACAGAAGACAAAGAAGAAUCUUUCCCUAGAAUCUCUGAAGAUAGUGGUGGUCAUCUGG